rnacentral:rRNA from 1 species
GCAUAUCAAUAAGCGGAGGAAAAGAAACCAACAGGGAUUGCCCCAGUAACGGCGAGUGAAGCGGCAACAGCUCAAAUUUGAAAUCUGGCCUCGGCCCGAGUUGUAAUUUGCAGAGGAUGCUUCCGGCGCGGCCCCUCCCGAGUCCCCUGGAACGGGGCGCCACAGAGGGUGAGAGCCCCGUAUGGUAGGACGCCUAGCCUGUGUGAAGCUCCUUCGACGAGUCGAGUAGUUUGGGAAUGCUGCUCAAAAUGGGAGGUAAAUUCCUUCUAAAGCUAAAUACCGGCCAGAGACCGAUAGCGCACAAGUAGAGUGAUCGAAAGAUGAAAAGCACUUUGAAAAGAGGGUCAAACAGCACGUGAAAUUGUUGAAAGGGAAGCGCUCGUGACCAGACUUGCGCCGGGCCGAUCAUCCGGUGUUCUCACCGGUGCACUCGGCCCGGCUCAGGCCAGCAUCGGUUCUCGUGGGGGGAUAAAAGCCCGGGGAACGUGGCUCCUCCGGGAGUGUUAUAGCCCCGGGCACAAUACCCUCGCGGGGACCGAGGACCGCGCUCUGCAAGGAUGCUGGCGUAAUGGUCACCAGCGACCCGUCUUGAAACACGGACCAAGGAGUCAAGGUUUUGCGCGAGUGUUUGGGUGUCAAACCCGCACGCGUAAUGAAAGUGAACGUAGGUGAGAGCUUCGGCGCAUCAUCGACCGAUCCUGAUGUUCUCGGAUGGAUUUGAGUAAGAGCGUAAUGCCUUGGACCCGAAAGAUGGUGAACUAUGCCUGGAUAGGGUGAAGCCAGAGGAAACUCUGGUGGAGGCUCGCAGCGGUUCUGACGUGCAAAUCGAUCGUCAAAUCAGGGCAUGGGGGCGAAAGACUAAUCGAACCAUCUAGUAGCUGGUUACCGCCGAAGUUUCCCUCAGGAUAGCAGUGUUGAUCUUCAGUUUUAUGAGGUAAAGCGAAUGAUUAGGGACUCGGGGGCGCUAUUUUGCCUUCAUCCAUUCUCAAACUUUAAAUAUGUAAGAAGCCCUUGUUACUUAGCUGAACGUGGGCAUUCGAAUGUACCAACACUAGUGGGCCAUUUUUGGUAAGCAGAACUGGCGAUGCGGGAUGAACCGAACGCGGGGUUAAGGUGCCGGAGUGGACGCUCAUCAGACACCACAAAAGGUGUUAGUACAUCUUGACAGCAGGACGGUGGCCAUGGAAGUCGGAAUCCGCUAAGGACUGUGUAACAACUCACCUGCCGAAUGUACUAGCCCUGAAAAUGGAUGGCGCUCAAGCGUCCCACCCAUACCCCGCCCUCAGGGUAGAAACGAAGCCCUGAGGAGUAGGCGGCCGUGGGGGUCAGCGACGAAGGCCAGGGCGCGA